rnacentral:snRNA from 1 species
UUGCUCACUUCGGCAGCACACAUGCUAAAAUUAGAACGCUACAGAGGAGAUUAGCAUGGCCCCUAUGCAAGGAUAACACGCAAAUUCGUGAAGCAUUCCAUAUUUUU